CGCUUUUACAUUUUUCUCAGUCCAAAUUAUAGCUGUGAACCAUGCAGAUAGGAACAGAAUUAUACAUCUGAAACCAGCGAAGUACUGGACAGAUGUCACCGAUUGAGCCGGCCCCCCUCCCACUGCCCCGCCUCUUCCCCUCCCUAUCAAAGGCCUGGGAGUGCCGGAGCACACAUCAAUCAUUCUGAGUGACAGGUCAAACACACAGUGUCACGCCUCAGCGCUCACCAAGGACAGAGAGAGGGAGGGAAGGAGGGAGGAGGAGGAUGUGGAAAGGUGGAUCACUGAAAUAGGAGGAGGACACCGGAGAAAAGGGAGUGAGAGGGUAUGAUAUGGACCCACUCGUGACCUGUGGUAUCUCACUCGACCUCACAGUGACAACUACAGUUGAAUUAAUCACCGGCCGUCUCUCGUUCUGUCUCUGUCUGGACAGAUGUAUUACCGAUGUGGACUGUAACUCAUAGUAAAGGCUUUGUUUUUGGCCUAUUGAGAAGCUUUAGUUAGUAGGUUUUAGUUACUCACAGGGCUAAGAUGUGGAUAUGGUAAAUCAGACUCUCACUGAUGAGCAAUUUGCAUGCUAUUCUAUAUGGCAGACAAGAUUAGGAUUAGAACAUCCUAGACUAUAUAAUUUUAGGAUUAAUAUUACCCGAAACCAUUUGUACAAAAAAUAGAAAAAAGUAAUAAUGCAUUUGAAUGUAAUGAAUGUAGCUACAUGCUAACACGAACAUGUAAACAUUGUCAACAGUUUGACAAGAGGUUGGUUUUUACUGCUUACUAAAACGAUGUACUUUCCUUUAUCAUUCUUAGUGAAGAAUGUACCCUUAGUGUAAAGUGGAAUAGUGUGAAUUGGCAUUCAACCUCUGACUGGCUCCUCUACACUGGUGUGUUUGUGAGAGAGAAAGAGAGAGUGAAGUGAAUGGAGUUAGUAAGCUUAAUGAUGUUGCAGUGCUAAGCUGUUUCUCUCAUUACUCUGACUGACAUUUGAAUGCUAAUCCUGAAUUAGCUGGUAAACUAUCUAAGUGUUUGAGUGAUGACUUCAUCAAACUUCACUCCAUUUGUGUGUGCUUGACAGUGAUAGAUAAGAACUGUGCUUGCAUUGUUGUAUUUUUGUAAUUGGGAAAACAUCUGGGCCUUUUUUUUCUUGGUGUAGGCAUCAAGUAGCGGUGGGGUUUUGUUGUAAACAAAAAUAAGUCUUGUCCUUUUAGUUUUUAUGUGUGCUUGUGUGUGUUUAUCAAAUG